AGAGUUUGAUCAUGGCUCAGAUUGAACGCUGGCGGCAGGCCUAACACAUGCAAGUCGAGCGGAAACGAGUUAUCUGAACCUUCGGGGAACGAUAACGGCGUCGAGCGGCGGACGGGUGAGUAAUGCCUAGGAAAUUGCCCUGAUGUGGGGGAUAACCAUUGGAAACGAUGGCUAAUACCGCAUAACACCUACGGGUCAAAGAGGGGGACCUUCGGGCCUCUCGCGUCAGGAUAUGCCUAGGUGGGAUUAGCUAGUUGGUGAGGUAAUGGCUCACCAAGGCGACGAUCCCUAGCUGGUCUGAGAGGAUGAUCAGCCACACUGGAACUGAGACACGGUCCAAACUCCUACGGGAGGCAGCAGUGGGGAAUAUUGCACAAUGGGCGCAAGCCUGAUGCAGCCAUGCCGCGUGUGUGAAGAAGGCCUUCGGGUUGUAAAGCACUUUCAGUCGUGAGGAAGGUGGUAGUGUUAAUAGCAUUAUCAUUUGACGUUAGCGACAGAAGAAGCACCGGCUAACUCCGUGCCAGCAGCCGCGGUAAU
rnacentral:rRNA from 1 species